GGUGGGCCAGUGCUCCAAUAACACCAGCUGCUAAGUAAUAGUCAGACCAGAACUUUUAUUUUGCUUAAUAGUUUCACUUAUGUCUAAUUGCACCUCACCUGUAUCUGAUCAAUUAGCUAGCAGGCUUUUAAAAAAAAGGGAUCAGCAUGCUGCAGAGUGAGGAGGAAAAGCCAGAGGAAUGGUGUCUUGCAGUUAUACUUUUUGUAAAUUGGCAAGUGGGAAAGCCACCCAAUUCCAGGUAGGGAUUUGCUGUGUAUAGUAAGUGCUCAAGCAAGAGCAAGGAAUUUUGCUUUGUUUAUUUU